CACACAGCAGCCCCACACGAUUCUCAGCGAGCCCAUGCCGAAAACCUUCCAUAUAUACAGAAAACAUAUCCGAGGAGGUGCAGAUCCUGUUAGGUCCCGGAAGACUGGGAGGAAAGGAGGAGACGAGGGGGCCUGCGCCGCAACACCAGACAUUCCCUGUCACACCAGUUCUCAAGUAAGGGAGGUCUGGUCUGGAAGUCCGAUGACGGAAGUCAGGCCAGAAGAAAUUCACAGUGCUCGCUCCCCCCUCUUGGGACUAAUAAAUUAGACAGCUGUAUUUUUCUCCGUGGCCUUAAACCCUGCAGGCCAACAAACCUUAUGCUGGAAGCUUCAAAUCCUAUAAUUACAAAGCUGACAGUUAACACACAGGUAAGCUACCUUACUGACUGGCAAGGAAUGCAAACAUCAUCUACGUGGGGCCGAGAAAUGGGGUAGAUGGAGGUCAUGAUGCAGGUGCAGAAGUUACCCCUCCACAUUUCCUGGGGGUUGUGGGUGCAUACGGAUCUGUGACAGGUUGAGCUACAACAAAAAGAUGAGGGGGAGCAUGUUUGUUUAAUUAUCUAUACUGUCAUAUUUGACAUGAUACGCAGCAUACAUGACGUAAUGUUUUAUUGGAAUGCUGCGUGGCACAGAAUUCCAUCACAGAUAUAGCAAUUCAACUUUUUUUUGGACUAUAUGAACUUCAUAUAUCAUUUGCUCACUU